ACAAUCGGGGGGGGGGGGCGCAGAUUGUCCAAUUAUGAUGUGCAUACCUGUCCGGGAGGAAUUAUAUGGAACCCUCAUGCUCGUUCAUCACUUCGUUUUUACACGCUGGAGUAGUUUUAUGAGAUACACUGAUAGAGGCUGUUUCGAAGGUUGCUAAAGACCAUGUUCAUUGCAUGCUUGGUUUCAUGCGGCUCCUGGCACUUGGGGUCGGUGCAGGGAGAUGAAGCUGAUUGAUUCAGGGCCAAAGAGCUCCAUGGUGUCUGACAGUCUGGGCCUUACAGUCCAAGAUGCAGAUAGUCGCAUUUGUCUAAGGUGCUAAGUGACAAAAGAACUUUUUAACAGUGGAAGCCCGAGCUGAAAGGAAGAGUAAUAUGGGUUGUAUAUUGGCCCGCGGUUCACCUUAACACCAGUGGAAGUGAUUAGUGGGUGCUGCUCUGCCUAAAGAGGCUUUCCAUAAGAUCGGGGCCCUCGCGGUAUUCAAAUAAAAUAUUUAGAUUUGCAAAACUUCUGGAAGCCAGAUUUUAAGGGAAAAAAGAAGUUUUUUGUCAGAUUGUCAAUGUCUGAAUUUCAUCACAAUCUGUUCAGCUGUUUGUUGCAGGCAGGCGUAAAACGUAGUGGGCUUUCUGCUGCUACGCAGCAAAACAAUGGAGCAGGUGGUGCUCGGCCAGUUUAUGACCACAAGGCCGGUCCAAGAGGCUGUAACCAUCGCCUGCCCUGCACCCAAAUCGU